GCCAGAUAUGGUGGAGCACAUUUGUAAUCUCAGUGACUCAGGAGGCUGAGGCAGGAGGAUCACAAGUUUGAGGCUGGCUUCUACAAGUUAGCAAGACCCGAAUCUACUUAGUGAGAUCCUGUCUCAA
rnacentral:sRNA from 1 species